UUGCUUCGGCAGCACAUUUAUGAAAAUUGGAACAAUACAGAGAAGAUUAGCAUGGUCUCUGCGCAGGGAUGACACACAAGUUUGUGAAGCUUUCCAUAUUUAG